GCAGAACGCGAAGAACCUUACCAAGGCUUGACAUCCUUGGAAGGCUUCCGAAAGGAAACUGUGCCCUCGGGAACCAAGUGACAGGUGAUGCAUGGCCGUCGUCAGCUCGUGUCGUGAGAUGUUUGGUUAAGUCCAUCAACGAGCGCAACCCUUUUAGUUAGUUGUAUUUCUCUAGCUAGACUGCCCUGGUAACAGGGAGGAAGGAGGGGAUGAUGUCAGGUCAGUAUUUCCCUUACGUCUGGGGCUACAAACACGCUACAAUGGCCGGUACAAAGGGCAGCCAAGUCGCGAGACGGAGCAAAUCCCAUCAAAGCCGGUCUCAGUUCGGAUAGCAGGCUGAAACUCGCCUGCUUGAAGCUGGAAUCGCUAGUAACGGUAGGUCAGCACACUACCGUGAAUACGUUCCCGGGUCUUGUACACACCG
rnacentral:rRNA from 1 species